GAUUAUAUAGUCUAAGAAGGACAUUAAAUUGCAAGUUUAAAAGUAUUAAAUUUAUAAUCU
rnacentral:tRNA from 1 species